AGUAAGCCAAAAAACAGAUCAGGAGUGACACCACAAUACCCACGGGGAUCGACUUCUGAGGGUUACGGACCUCCUCGCCUUCAACAGAAUAAAAACAUACGUCUGGAUUCUAAAAUGACACAAACGUCUGAACUUGACUGGAGAAUCUGACCUGCCAGAAGCAUGAUAAGUGCAGCUGCAAAGAAGUCUGGGUAAGGAGCGAGUCCAGGACAGCAGCAGGUUCCAUCCUGUAAUGAAGGCCCACACUUCUCCCACAGUCACGUAGCUGUACAGAUACGCAGAACCUGUUUUGGGCACACGGGCACCGAACUCGGCGUAGCACAACCCGGCAAAC